UACGGAGGGUGCAAGCGUUAUCCGGAAUCACUGGGCGUAAAGGGCGCGUAGGUGGUCUGUUAAGUCUGGCGUUAAAGCCUGGGGCUCAACCCCAGAUCAGCGUUGGAUACUGGCAGGCUAGACGGUUGGAGAGGCGAGUGGAAUUACCAGUGUAGCGGUGGAAUGCGUAGAUACUGGUAGGAACACCCAUUGCGAAGGCAGCUCGCUGGACAACACGUGACGCUGAGGCGCGAAAGUGUGGGGAGCAAACCGGAUUAGAUACCCGU
rnacentral:rRNA from 1 species